CACACACACACACACAGCCCGUCUCGCGCCUGAGGUCUCGCCCGCAGGCCGGUGGCGCGGGGUCAGCUGCUGCCUGCGGUCCAGGACAGGGUCGGUUCCGCCGCGCAGCGCCCAGGCCCAGCUCGUCCAGAGUCUGCGGACAGCGCACGUCCAGACAUCGCCCACUCGGGCUCACAGUGCCAUCCGGGUGAGGACCUCCGUGGAGAGCUCUCUUUGCCAAAGAAAAGCAGUUGCAUUAGGUCUGCGAGCAGGCAGGGUGGCCUCUUCCUGGCUCCCCAUCCACCAAGGAAGCUUCAAGUCCCUGGGACACAGGCACUUUCCCACACAGGAUGGAGCCGGGCCACCCUCACAGCUCCUGCCCUGCAGACGCUGGCCUUGUGGAGGGAGGCAGGCAGCAGGAGCAGUGCUUUCUGGGCCUCUGUAGCCAGAGCUGGCCCUGCUGCAGCUUACGUCUGCCUGCAGCCCAGACGUCCUCCUGGUCCUCCUGAUGCCCCCGACCUCCACGGAGGACGAGCAUUUCCAGCCCAGCCCUCCCCAUCUUCACCUCGCACUCCCCUGACACACUGGGAGCCUCCUGAUCCGUGAACCCGCGCUGGCGGGAGUAGCUACUGACCGCUGGGGACCCCUGCCCAGGCUGUUCGCAUGUGGAAAGGAUUCAGGGAGCAGGCGAUGCCCAAAGCGUGGAGACCAGCACUGCUCUCUCCCCAGUGACAGGUGCACGCCCAGAUCACGGAUGUGUCGGGAACAGCUGUGCUCCUGCUGCUCAGCGUCCGUCACUCCAGGCUGGGAGCGGGUCCCCAAGCUUCUGGCUGGGCCUAUCCGUCUCCACUCUCAGUGUGGGGGUGGGGGGCGCCAACAGCACGCAUUUGCUCUCUGCACUUCUCGUCUGAUAAUGGGCAGAGGGUCCUUCUGCAGCCCCAAAACAUCCCUAGGCAGGAGCCCUGGGGCCCCAAGCAGCCAGGGAGGUGAGCACCAAGGACCUCCCAGAGAGCGUCACCUUCCGUCGAGGGAGGCCCAGCCUGGGGGCGGUGUCUGAGACUUGGAAUCAACGCUUCCGUUGGUGGCAGUAAAUCCUGUCCCUAACCCUGCAGUACAGCUGUGCCGUGUACAGGAGGGUGCUGUCUGACGCCAGACACCUGGACUACAGAUCGCAGCCUGAUUCCUGGUCAUUGCUCCACUGAACCCCAGACCCCAGCCUCGUUCUGGGCCCUCAUCCCCUAGAUCCAGGGACCCCAGCCCCAUUUCAGCCCUUGGGCCCUUGUAGGAUGCGAGGCCCUGGGCCCCAGCCCCCAGCCCAUCCGUGGCCCAGGCACUGGGGGGCUGAGGUCCUCUGAGAAGGGACACAGGGCCUGGGGGGCUCUCUCAGCCCAUCAGCAGGAGAGGACUGACUCCAGAAAAAUCAGCGUUUGUACCCACUCAGGCUGCCAAGACCUGUGUCCGUCCUUCCAAGCUCAACCUUCAGAGUUCAUGAGGCCCCUUGCCCAGAAUGUCCACAGAGUUCAUGAGGCCCCUUGCCCGGAAUGUCCACAUUUGAAACCUCCCAACACCGAGCCCCAUUUCAAGUAUAACCAGGAGGGAAAAUGGUGCUUGAAAUAAGCAUGCCACAAAGGAAAACCUGCUUUCUCGAAAUGGGCCCUGGCCGCCCAGGCCCUGACCUCCCCGGCCAGGAUGGAACGUUCCAGAGACCCAUUAGUGCCAAAGGCAAAUGAAAACACACCCUGUGAAAAU
rnacentral:lncRNA from 1 species